UUCCUCGGCGCCGGCCUCUGCAUUGGCCUCCUCAACCCGACCACCAACAUCAUCUACAACACCCUCGUCGCCUCCGGCCUCCGCGCCGAGAAAGUCCAGGGCGGCGACAUGGCCGAGCGCUCCAUGGACGGCCUCGUCGCCUUCCUCACCUUCUUCUUCCGCUACCUCGCGGACUGGGAGGCCGUGCGCUACCUGCUCCGCGCCGACGGCGACCUCGUCUACGCGGUGCGCCUCGUCGCGCAUGGCCGGGCUCUCUCCCCCUUCCACCUGAACUCUGACGCCAGCAAGCCCGUCGUACGCACUGCCCUCAUGUGCGCCGCGCUGGCCUCCAAGCACACGGACGCCCACCACCUCGUCGACACCUGGCUGUCGCCGGUUCGCCCUCUGGAAGAAGCCGCCCACGCGAUCGAGAACGACAUCAAUAAAUUCACCAGUGAAUUCAGCCCACGGAAUCAUGGUCCUGGCAUGCAAACGCAGCCCCUUGAUUUCGCUUGGAAGCGCGCACUCGAGCUCCGUCAGUCCCCACCCACCGUCGUGCCGUAUCGACCUUACUGGUCCCUCAAAUUUGUGCUCCUCCAGCGGAUCCACGCCUUCUACCUCAAGGCGCUCGCCCUGAUGCCGGCGAGUGAGCUCCGGUCGUCGUGCUACCACCGCAGCAUGCUCAAGGCUGGCCACUGCUACGGCCCCUUCGACCCGGUCUCCAACAUCAUCAUCAACACCAUCUGGCACAACACCGUCUCCCCACCGAGCCAAAAACCUGAGAUUGACAUGAUCAGUACCGGCAGUCUGUUGCGCAUCGAGGCUCGCUCGUUCUACGGCCUUGUUUCCUUCCUCUGCACCUCCGGCAAGAACCUCUACGAAGCCAUGCGCUUCCUGCUCAUUACUGAUUGCACUCUGGGGAAGAGUGCUGCGCCCUUUUCGAACCCGUUAGCUCACUUCGGGGAUCAAGACAAAAUCUGUCAUGCCUUCAGGGCUGCCGAACAAACCCGCUGCAUGUACUGUGACUACGAAGGGACUAAAAUUGUGCACCCGGCUAUGGAGGAAUUCCAGUUCAAAGGGCGCGACCUGGAGUUUCAGAACAUGGCCUGU
rnacentral:rRNA from 1 species